CCUACGGGAGGCAGCAGUGGGGAAUAUUGGACAAUGGGCGAAAGCCUGAUCCAGCCAUGCCGCGUGUGUGAAGAAGGCCUUCGGGUUGUAAAGCACUUUCAGUGGGGAAGAAAGCCUUGGGGCUAAUACCCUCGAGGAAGGACAUCACCCACAGAAGAAGCACCGGCUAACUCCGUGCCAGCAGCCGCGGUAAUACGGAGGGUGCGAGCGUUAAUCGGAAUUACUGGGCGUAAAGCGCGCGUAGGCGGUCUGAUAAGCCGGUUGUGAAAGCCCCGGGCUCAACCUGGGAACGGCAUCCGGAACUGUCAGGCUAGAGUGCAGGAGAGGAAGGUGGAAUUCCCGGUGUAGCGGUGAAAUGCGUAGAGAUCGGGAGGAAUACCAGUGGCGAAGGCGGCCUUCUGGACUGACACUGACGCUGAGGUGCGAAAGCGUGGGUAGCAAACAGGAUUAGAUACCCUAGUAGUC
rnacentral:rRNA from 1 species